rnacentral:rRNA from 1 species
AGACGAGCGAAGCACUUUACUUGAUUUCUUCGGAUUGAAGGUAUAGUGACUGAGCGGCGGACGGGUGAGUAACGCGUGGGUAACCUGCCUCAUACAGGGGGAUAACAGUUAGAAAUGACUGCUAGUACCGCAUAAGACCACAGCACCGCAUGGUGCGGGGGUAAAAACUCCGGUGGUAUGAGAUGGACCCGCGUCUGAUUAGCUAGUUGGUAAGGUAAGGGCUUACCAAGGCGACGAUCAGUAGCCGACCUGAGAGGGUGACCGGCCACAUUGGGACUGAGACACGGCCCAAACUCCUACGGGAGGCAGCAGUGGGGAAUAUUGCACAAUGGGGGAAACCCUGAUGCAGCGACGCCGCGUGAGUGAUGAAGUAUUUCGGUAUGUAAAGCUCUAUCAGCAGGGAAGAAAAUGACGGUACCUGACUAAGAAGCACCGGCUAAAUACGUGCCAGCAGCCGCGGUAAUACGUAUGGUGCAAGCGUUAUCCGGAUUUACUGGGUGUAAAGGGAGCGUAGACGGAGAGGCAAGUCUGAUGUGAAAACCCGGGGCUCAACCCCGGGACUGCAUUGGAAACUGUUUUUCUAGAGUGUCGGAGAGGCAAGUGGAAUUCCUAGUGUAGCGGUGAAAUGCGUAGAUAUUAGGAGGAACACCAGUGGCGAAGGCGGCUUGCUGGACGAUGACUGACGUUGAGGCUCGAAAGCGUGGGGAGCAAACAGGAUUAGACACCCUGGUAGUCCACGCCGUAAACGAUGAAUAGUAGGUGUCGGGUGGCAAAGCCAUUCGGUGCCGCAGCAAACGCAAUAAG